rnacentral:rRNA from 1 species
AUACGUAGGUGGCGAGCGUUGUCCGGAAUUAUUGGGCGUAAAGAGCAUGUAGGCGGCUUAAUAAGUCGAGCGUGAAAAUGCGGGGCUCAACCCCGUAUGGCGCUGGAAACUGUUAGGCUUGAGUGCCGGAGAGGAAAGGGGAAUUCCCAGUGUAGCGGUGAAAUGCGUAGAUAUUGGGAGGAACACCAGUGGCGAAGGCGCCUUUCUGGAUUGUGGCUGACGCUGAUAUUCGAAAGCCAGGGUAGCGAACGGGAUUAGAUACCCCGGUAGUCCUGGCCGUAAACGAUGGUUACUAGGUGUAGGAGGUAUCGACCCCUUCUGUGCCGGAGUUAACGCAAUAAGUACCCCGCCUGGGGAGUACGGCCGCAAGGUUGAAACUCAAAUGAAUUGACGGGG